UACGUAGGGGGCAAGCGUUAUCCGGAAUUAUUGGGCGUAAAGAGUACGUAGGUGGCAACCUAAGCGCAGGGUUUAAGGCAAUGGCUCAACCAUUGUUCGCCCUGCGAACUGGGAUGCUUGAGUGCAGGAGAGGAAAGCGGAAUUCCUAGUGUAGCGGUGAAAUGCGUAGAUAUUAGGAGGAACACCAGUGGCGAAGGCGCCUUUCUGGACUGUAACUGACACUGAGGUACGAAAGCGUGGGGAGCAAACAGG
rnacentral:rRNA from 1 species